GACUCGGAUUCAUGCAGUCCCAACGCUCAAACCUUGUCAGAACCGGAAGGUAGCAGCAAUACGAGAUGCUUGGGAUAGGCGUGAACUCCGGGUCUUC
rfam:Microcoleus chthonoplastes PCC 7420 scf_1103659003820 genomic scaffold, whole genome shotgun sequence.